rnacentral:rRNA from 1 species
UACAGAGGUGGCGAGCGUUGUUCGGAAUUACUGGGCGUAAAGGGCGCGUAGGCGGCCGUUUGCGUCGGAUGUGAAAGCCCGGGGCUCAACCUCGGAACGGCAUUCGAUACGGGACGGCUGGAGACCGGGAGAGGAGAGUGGAAUAGCCAGUGUAGAGGUGAAAUUCGUAGAUAUUGGCUGGAACACCGGUGGCGAAAGCGGCUCUCUGGCCCGGUUCUGACGCUGAGGCGCGAAAGCGUGGGGAGCAAACAGG